rnacentral:rRNA from 1 species
UAGGGAAUCUUCGGCAAUGGGGGGAACCCUGACCGAGCAACGCCGCGUGAGUGAAGAAGGUUUUCGGAUCGUAAAGCUCUGUUGUUAAGGAAGAACGAGUGUGAGAAUGGAAAGUUCAUACUGUGACGGUACUUAACCAGAAAGGGACGGCUAACUACGUGCCAGCAGCCGCGGUAAUACGUAGGUCCCGAGCGUUGUCCGGAUUUAUUGGGCGUAAAGCGAGCGCAGGCGGUUAGAUAAGUCUGAAGUUAAAGGCAGUGGCUCAACCAUUGUAGGCUUUGGUAACUGUUUAACUUGAGUGCAGAAGGGGAGAGUGGAAUUCCAUGUGUAGCGGUGAAAUGCGUAGAUAUAUGGAGGAACACCGGUGGCGAAAGCGGCUCUCUGGUCUGUAACUGACGCUGAGGCUCGAAAGCGUGGGGAGCGAACAGGAUUAGAUACCCUGGUAGUCCACGCCGUAAACGAUGAGUGCUAGGUGUUAGGUCCUUUCCGGGACUUAGUGCCGCAGCUAACGCAUUAAGCACUCCGCCUGGGGAGUACGACCGCAAGGUUG